UGUGCAAUAGCAAGAAAUAUUCAAUUGCACAGUAUUGUCCCGUUUUCAAAUUGGUCUACAUUAAGGUCCAAAGGGUCAAAAAUUAAACUUUGUUUGAUUUCAACAAAAAAUGAAUAUAUGGGGUUCUUCAAUAUGCUGAAUCUAACCAUGUAUUUAGAUUUUUAAUAUUUGGGCCCAGUUAUCAAAUUGGUCCACAUUGAGGUCUAAAGGGUCUAAAAUUGAACAUUAUUUGAUUUCAUCAAAAAUUGAAUUCUUGGGGUUCUAUGAUAUAUGCUGAAUCUAACCAUGUAUUUAGAUUUUGGACAUUGGAACAUAAUAGGUAAAUGUCUAAUUUAAAAUGUUUAAGUUUUUAAGUUUAAGUUCUUAGACCACAUUCAUUCUGUGUCAGAAACCUAUGUUGUGUCAACUAUUUAAUCACAAUCCAAAUUCAG
rnacentral:lncRNA from 1 species